GAUGAACGCUGGCGGCGUGCUUAACACGUGCAAGUCGAACGAGGGCGAUAGCAAUAUUGCCCGAGUGGCGGACGGGUGAGUAACGCGUGAACAAUCUGCCUGUAUCAGGGGAAUAACACUAAGAAAUUGGUGCUAAUACCGCAUAAGACCACGGAGAGGCAUCUCCCCGGGGUAAAAGAAAUAUCGGAUACAGAUGAGUUCGCGUCCCAUUAGGUAGUUGGUGAGGUAACGGCCCACCAAGCCGACGAUGGGUAGCCGACCUGAGAGGGUGAUCGGCCACAUUGGAACUGAGAUACGGUCCAGACUCCUACGGGAGGCAGCAGUGGGGAAUAUUGGGCAAUGGAGGGAACUCUGACCCAGCAACGCCGCGUGAGUGAAGAAGGUUUUCGGAUUGUAAAACUC
rnacentral:rRNA from 1 species